rnacentral:rRNA from 1 species
AACGCGACCCCAGGUCAGG